rnacentral:rRNA from 1 species
CAGCCGCGCGGUAAGACAGAGGGUGCAAGCGUUAAUCGGAUUUACUGGGCGUAAAGGGCGCGUAGGUGGUUAUUUAAGUGAGAUGUGAAAUCCCCGGGCUUAACCUGGGAACUGCAUCUUAUACUGGGUAACUGGAGUGCAAUAGAGGGUAGUGGAAUUUCCGGUGUAGCGGUGAAAUGCGUAGAUAUCGGAAGAACACCAGUGGCGAAGGCGGCUUAUUGGCUCAUUCUAGACGCUGAGGUGCGAAAGCGUGGGGAGCAAACAGGAUUAGAUACCCCUGUAGUCCCUGUCUCUUAUACAC